GACGAACGCUGGCGGCAGGCUUAACACAUGCAAGUCGAACGAACUCUUCGGAGUGAGUGGCAGACGGGUGCGUAACACGUGGGAACCUACCUAAAGGUACGGAACAACACCGAGAAAUUGGUGCUAAUACCGUAUGUGCCCUUCGGGGGAAAGAUUUAUCGCCUUUAGAUGGGCCCGCGGCAGAUUAGAUUGUUGGUGAGGUAACGGCUCACCAAGUCGACGAUCUGUAGCUGGUCUGAGAGGAUGAUCAGCCACACUGGAACUGAGACACGGUCCAGACUCCUACGGGAGGCAGCAGUGGGGAAUAUUGGGCAAUGGGCGCAAGCCUGACCCAGCCAUGCCGCGUGAGUGAUGAAGGCCUUAGGGUUGUAAAACUCUUUCGCUAGUGAAGAUAAUGACGGUAACUAGUAAAGAAGCCCCGGCUAAUUUCG
rnacentral:rRNA from 1 species